UACAGAGGUCCCAAGCGUUGUUCGGAUUCACUGGGCGUAAAGGGUGCGUAGGUGGUCGGGUAAGUUUAAGGUGAAAUCUCUGGGCUCAACCCAGAAAUGGCAUUGAAUACUAUCUCGCUAGAGAGUCGGAGGGGGGACUGGAAUACUUGGUGUAGCAGUGAAAUGCGUAGAUAUCAAGUGGAACACCAGUGGCGAAGGCGAGUCCCUGGACGACUUCUGACACUAAGGCACGAAAGCUAGGGGAGCAAACAGG
rnacentral:rRNA from 1 species